CGAGGACAGGGCAGCUGCAUUUAUUUACAACUGCACAGCACCCACAGGAGUCUAAAAUCAACCUCUGCCUUGGCUUCCGCCUAGCUCCGUCACUGCGCAUGCUCAGUCGCAUGCACUGCUCAAACUGCACGUCAACUGCUCACACCUUUGCCCGUGGUCUUUCCAUCUACCUGGGGCCUGCAUUGCUGUCUGGUGCGCUCCUGCCUGUCUCCCAGGUGACGCCUACAUCUCCUUCAAACAGAGGCCCCCUCAGCCUCGCAGCUCAGACCCAGGGCAGGCGCUUCUCCUUGUGUUCACAGUGACACUGGUUAGGAUUACUGAGUACAACAUUUA
rnacentral:lncRNA from 1 species